rnacentral:rRNA from 1 species
UAGCGGCGAGUGAAGCGGCAAAAGCUCAAAUUUGAAAUCUGGCGCCUUCGGUGUCCGAGUUGUAAUUUGAAGAUUGUAACCUUGGGGUUGGCUCUUGUCUAUGUUUCUUGGAACAGGACGUCACAGAGGGUGAGAAUCCCGUGCGAUGAGAUGCCCAAUUCUAUGUAAGGUGCUUUCGAAGAGUCGAGUUGUUUGGGAAUGCAGCUCUAAGUGGGUGGUAAAUUCCAUCUAAAGCUAAAUAUUGGCGAGAGACCGAUAGCGAACAAGUACAGUGAUGGAAAGAUGAAAAGAACUUUGAAAAGAGAGUGAAAAAGUACGUGAAAUUGUUGAAAGGGAAGGGUUUGAGAUCAGACUCGAUAUUUUGUGAGCCUUGCCUUCGUGGCGGGGUGACCCGCAGCUUAUCGGGCCAGCAUCGGUUUGGGCGGUAGGAUAAUGGCGUAGGAAUGUGACUUUACUUCGGUGAAGUGUUAUAGCCUGCGUUGAUGCUGCCUGCCUAGACCGAGGACUGCGAUUUUAUCAAGGAUGCUGGCAUAAUGAUCCCAAACCGC